ACCGUACCUUACAGCAGAGCUGCAACGUUUGAGUUCCAAGGUAUAGUUGGCAAUGGGAACCGAAGUGAUAUUGGAUUAGAUGAUCUGAACCCUGUAUCAGGAACAUGUGAUGUUACUCCACCUACGGCAAGGGUUGAACUCCCCAGCACAUCACCCUUAAUGCCCCGUACAACUAUGACGUCAUUCUGAUGUUACUUUGCAGUUACUCCACCUACGGCAAGGGUUGAACUCCCCAGCACAUCACCCUUAAUGCCCCGUACAACUAUGACGUCAGUAACAGGCUCUGGGACUGGAACUCCAAAGGCAACAGAGGGCGCACCUCGUCCAACGCUUACCACAUCGGGUCAGACUGAGCAGCCCAAGACAGAGACAA